GUAUCAAAUUUAACCGUUUCACAUCGACAUACAAAGUUCGCAAGUGCGCAUUUUAUCAUCAACCAUAUGUAUAAUUCCACAUUGAUUGUGAUAAAAGGAACAUUUUUCGUUAAAUUUUUUCGAUUGUUGCUUCGUAAAUAAAUUAGUUUAAUACAAUAAUUGUGGGAGAAGAGAAUUGUGAAAGUAUGGAGUUUAACGAUAAAGUUAUCAUUAUCAGUGGAGCGAGCAGUGGCAUUGGUGCGGAAACGGCACGUCUUCUAUCGAGUAUGGGCGGUCGAGUCGUACUAGUCGGUCGUAAUCAAGAACGAUUGAAUAAUGUGGUCGCUGAUAUUAUCAAAGCUGGAUCUCCAACGCCCCAUGCAAUCGUUGCCGAUGUAACGAAAGAUUGUCAACGAAUCGUCGACGAAACCAUAUCACAUUAUGGUAAGUUGGAUGUAUUGGUGAACAAUGCCGGAAUCAAUAUCGAAAUACCAAUUAUGGAUGCUACCACGUUGCAAUAUGAGCAAAUUUUUGAUACAAAUGUAAAAAGUGUUAUAACUUUGACAAAAUUGUGUGUGCCACAUCUUGAAAAGACGAAUGGAAAUAUCGUUAAUGUAUCUAGCAUUUGCGGUAUGGUGCCCGUUUAUUCGUCAACAUUCUAUUCAAUGUCAAAAGCCGCUUUGGAUCAAUUUACUCAGUGUGCAGCAAAUGAAUUUGGCCGAAAACAUAUUAGAGUGAAUUCGGUUAAUCCAGGUUUAAUUGAAACUCCCAUUUUUGAGACGGUGGGAAUGUCACCGGAUGAGAUAAAAACGUUUAUUGAAGAAAAUGGCAAAAAGUAUCCGGUUGGCAGAAUCGGUCGUGUCUCUGAUAUUUCUAGAUGUAUCGCAUUCUUGGCAAGUGAACGGGCUGAAUUUAUAACGGGAACACUAUUGAAGUGCGAUGGUGGGGCUGUGUCAGCUGCCGCUUAUUAAAUCAUCACCAUACGAUAAUCUUUAUGUUUGCUUACGUUAAUUUGCAUUGAAAUAUUCAUUUGAGUUUGAUAAGAGACUCACUAUCUUCUUUAAAUUAAUUUUUAUCGUAUUUUACUUAAAAAUAUCCGUUCAUCCAAACAAUGAAAAACCGAAAAUAUAUAAUUCUGCUAUUUAAAUUAUCAUGGACAUGCUUUUGACUUUCAACAUUUUUGAAAUAAUAUAGUAUUAAAAUAAUUACAGAUUCUGGUCAUAAUUUUGAAAUAAUUUGUUGAAUAAAUUCCAAAUAUAUAUGAAAGAUAUUCAUAUGAACAUAUGAUAAUAUUCAGUGCCGCUUAAAACUUGUUUUUGUUGAAGUCAUUUAUAGCAUGUGAACAAGUGCACUUGAUUAAGUGUAAAACCGCAAAUUGUCAAUUUCAAAAAAGAAAUUCGAAUUUAAAAUGAUAACAAUGUCUUUAAAAGUGGAAAUUCUGUUUAAAUGCCUUUAUCUAUUGUUGUUAUUAUUUUAUCUUUGCUCUUAUGGAUUAUUAGUUUGUAAAAUAUUAAACAUGUCAUUCUGUAUUUUGAUUUCAACACAGAUGGAAUGCAGUGCCUAUAGACGUGCAGAAGUAAAUAAAAAGUUUCGAGAAUACACACUUUUUAAUCUACAAUAUGAAGGCGAGAUUUUGAAGAAUUUAGUACUUAAACUAAACAGUUGAAUAAAAUACAAAUUGGGUGGAUUUUUAUUCGUCUAAGGCACGAAUUUACGUAAAUACAGAAAUUAAAAAUUGUUCUUAUUCUUUUGAAUUGAUAUGAACGAGUCACGUACUCAGUUAAUGAUUUUUUGACCGUCUUGUUUUUAUUAAAUGACCUUGAGACGGGUUAGAUAGCAAAAAUACGCAACAAAUUAUUGAUUUUAUGUGAUGAGCUCUUUUGAUAACAACCCUAGUAACAACCAAACAAUUUUUUGUUAUAUUUAUGCAGCUUUUGCUCACAGAAAAACUUCUUCGUAUU